CCCCCCCACCUCAAAAAUCAAGACCAACUGAAGCUGCAUUAAGUUGCUCGUGGUCGUGUCCAGUUGCUAUCCAAGUGUGCUCAAGGAUGAAGAUUCCCCCCAAAACCUCUUUUGGUCCCUGUUCAAUACCUCGCUGUCCCCAUUACAACAGCAAGUUCUUACAUCCAUUCCAAGUUUCCCUUGCUGCAGCUUCUGACCUUUACAGCGCCACUGAAGUCAGCCCAGUACAAAUCCUGACCUAUUUUACUGAAUGACAUGGGGUGACAGUGGCACAGGACCCUAAAGUGCAACAGCUUUGAAGGGCAAUAAAAAAAACCAACCAAACAAACAAAAGCCUCUGCCUUUGCCCCCCUAAAACACACGAGAAUCAGCUACUAUUAAUUAUCUGUGUAGCAAUACUCUGAGCAGUAAAUAUGCAUCAAGUUGUUUAAAUUCUCAUAUGAUUUACCACCGCUUCCAGAACUUACUCCAUCUCUGACCAGUGAUCACGAAUGAUUUAUAGAGAGAAACUUUUUAUAGAGAUCUAAGUGCCAAAACAGACUUCAGACUUCUCUGGCCAAACAGUACGCAAGUCGAUGAAAACUUAUUUAUUCCUGAGAGAAAUAAAUAGAAGAGAGAAAUACAUUCUCUACUUGACUGCCUGUCAGUAUUCUUCUUAAAAGGUGUCUUCAGUUGGGAUUCUAGUCUUGCAAGACAGAUUUGGAGCUAGGAUCCGACCCCCUAUGCAAGACCGAAAUCAGGUAUAAAAGCUGAUCACACUGAAAGAGGUGGAAACCUGGUAACGCGGUGGGUGGCGUUACAGCAGUGACACCGAGAAACAGGUAAGGAUCGAGCUCACUUUGCUCAAUGUACCUACCCACGCACUGGCGUCUCAAUGGACCACUUUACAUCUGAAGAGGAUUUUGUCAAGAAAUGCCAUCCUUUAUUUUCUACCUAGCACUACUUCCUGAUUCGCUAACCAUAAAACCUAUCAUUUCCUGAACAAACUGUAUCAGAUCACGUGUAACCGCCAUCGGUUUUAAGUGAUAAGACACUCAAAAGUCGUCAUCUGAGCUACUGAUUAAAUGGUAAACGUACGUGUGUUAGACAGUGGUAACAGCCUAACCGACACUGAAUUUCCCUCCUCUUCACCCUGGCAUCUGGAUUUUGAAUGGAGUUACUCACAUUGUACUGUCAAUUAAACAUAUCAGGGAGAACGUAUGUGUAGGACAGAAAGUGUGUACGCAUUACGUAGAUUCACAAGGUCAUCACCUAAACUUGUAAUCAUGAGGUUUUCUGGCAUAUAAACAACAGGUCAAAUACAGCUUCUCCCAAGCUUUCUGAGCUUAGUGGACAACGCAAUCCUACCAGCGUCACAAGAAGAGUCCAUUUGAAGGAUGAAUGAGCAAAGACGCAAGACUUCAGCACCCGCUCCUCUGGAGGCAAACCUUCUACAUGGCCAGAAAUGCAGAUUUUCAUGCAAAACAAAAUUGAAGCUCCAGAGAUGAGUCCAAAAAGCACCAAUCAUUCUAGAUUUCAGGGCAGAACCUACCUAACUAGUCAGAAAAAUAAUUCUGCAUUAAGAUACAUAAAGAGGACAAGAGUCGAUACAGUGGUUUGGGAUUUGGGUUUUUUUAGGGGUUUUUGGCUCAAUCUGUUCCCCUCCUUCUGUAGUUACCCAUUUAGGAAGCUUCUGGUGAAAAGCAGCCACAUUUCUUAAUGAGUAGAAUCUGCCCAGAUUUCACUUGGACAAGACUUAGGUAAAGCACGUGAAUGAAUUAGAAGAAUGAUUUGCUGAAGCUACCAGGCAAAUGAACAGAACCACUGGCUGCUAAAUAAUCUAGUUUUUCCUGCUCUGAGAAAAAGAAAAAAAAAUAUCUCUGUUUUGAACUAUUAGUUUGGAAUAACUGAGUCAGCAAAGGUGGGUGUAUACACUAGAAAAAAUGUCUACGCUUCAAGUUUUGAUAGCCUCAAAAGCAGUACAGUCUGUCAUCGUAAUAAAUCAAAAUAACAGACCAGCUCCCAUGGAGCUAAAGGCUCCCAUGAAGCCGCCUUUAAGAUCUUAGUGCUGUUUUGUCCCUCACCUGAAGAACAGUGGGGUGCAGGGUGGGGAGGGACCCUGUUUCUGGCUGGCCUAGUCCUUGGCCUCGCUGCUAAACACUGCAGGUAAUUCCGGCUGCCCGGGACACUGCUCCACAAAACCAGCCCGUCAGCCCAGCAUCCAGAAGCCCCCGCUGCACAGACGGCUCGCAGCUGGGUGUCCAACAGCUUCCAGAACACAUCAGAAAGCCAGAACUCCCUGUCACUGAUCGGGACAACGGAACACUGAGGCAUCUACGAGUAAUAGACAUUCCAAAAGAACCACAGCUUCAGACUGAAAAUGCUACAUUUCUUGGGAUGCCAGAAUGACAGAAAUUAGCUUUUCUUAAUAAAAAGGCCUUUCAUCUUUUGCAAUAUGUGUCAAAAAUAUCAGGCUGUGCUCCUCCAGAUCUACUGUAGUGGAAGCGUAUCUUCAUGUAACAGCAGAAUUAAAUAUAUCAAUCUUGCCACUGAUUUUUAAAUAUCAGUCUUUUGAACAAGUAUCGUACCACCGCUUAGGAACUUUGUCAGCACCCGUGAGGUGGUACAGCUUCCAGCAAGUGCUAAUUUCUUAUUUUACUGUUAUAACUUCAAGUGCUCUCAAUUCUCAUGUCAAGUUUCACCAUGUACCUGCUAAUGAGGGUUAUGGCACUGCAAUACCUCUUUGGACAGCAAAUACAGUAAUUCCUAAAGCUUUAAGAAUGAGCUGUUCACGCUUCGUUCAACUGCUGGAGCCUCAGCCUGUGCCUGCUGCUGCUCAAGUUUCCUACUGAAGUUAGCAGGACUGGCCACUGCUGGUGACAAGUAGCAGUACCACAUCGGUACGAUCACAAGGUCUCAACUACGAUGUCCUGUGCCAGCCUACCAGCACAAGGUCCCUGUCCCCAGAGCUCCUGGCCUAAGCAGAGCUGUAGGAUCAGGUCUUCGGUUUGAUAGCGCAGGGGUGGGAAUCAAUCUUCGAAGCAGCAGAGAUACCAGCGCAAGUCAUUUCAGAGCCAGGCUCGUGCAAGAAAGCAGUCAAGAAUACCACACGUGAGAAGCCAGAAUGCACCCCUGCGUUCUUCUGCCGAGCGCUACACAGGGGGCAGGGUGGGGUACAGAGGACGGCCAACCCGUGCUCGAGAACUGCAGCACCUGCGUUUCACUCGCCUUCAUACCCACAGCCCCAGGCUGGUGCGGCCGAAGGGCGCUCCUUCCCGGCCACGCGGCAAUCGCAGCUCACCCUGCCUCGGGAUUAACACCUCACACCACACGUCAUUUCUCGCCACGUCUCCCACAUGCUUCCUUCACAACAAGCUGCAUUACUAAAAUCCCACGGCUUUGGCAGUGCUGCUGGUUUUAGGAAAAAUACAGGCUGCUUGUUCCUUUUUGCGUAACUCCUGCCAUUUUUCUCCCUGCAACCCCGCCACUCCUCUCCGCACGUAGUGAGCUCUUCUUUUGCACAACUUUGCUACCAAAGCAGCUCCCUCUUUUACAGCCCGUGCAAAUGAAAUACCUGUGAUACUUAACCCAGACUUGUGUACCUUUGCGUGUGAUGUUUACAUAUACAUUUGUGAGAUGGGAAAUAAACAAGCGAUCAACUUUA